rnacentral:rRNA from 1 species
UACGGGGGGGGCAAGCGUUGUUCGGAAUUACUGGGCGUAAAGGGCGUGUAGGCGGCCAACUAAGUCCGACGUGAAAUCCCCAGGCUUAACCUGGGAACUGCGUCGGAUACUGGAUGGCUUGAAUCCGGGAGAGGGAUGCAGAAUUCCAGGUGUAGCGGUGAAAUGCGUAGAUAUCGUUUGGAACGCCAAUGGUGAAAACAGACAGCUGGGAGUGUGCUGACGCUGAGACACGAAAGCCAGGGGAGCGAACGGG